UGAGGCAAUAGAAGGUGACUGUGACCU
rnacentral:piRNA from 1 species